rnacentral:rRNA from 1 species
CCUACGGGUGGCAGCAGUGGGGAAUAUUGGACAAUGGGCGAAAGCCUGAUCCAGCCAUGCCGCGUGUGUGAAGAAGGCCUUCGGGUUGUAAAGCACUUUCAGUGGGGAAGAAAGCCUUGGGGCUAAUACCCUCGAGGAAGGACAUCACCCACAGAAGAAGCACCGGCUAACUCCGUGCCAGCAGCCGCGGUAAUACGGAGGGUGCGAGCGUUAAUCGGAAUUACUGGGCGUAAAGCGCGCGUAGGCGGUCUGAUAAGCCGGUUGUGAAAGCCCCGAGCUCAACCUGGGAACGGCAUCCGGAACUGUCAGGCUAGAGUGCAGGAGAGGAAGGUAGAAUUCCCGGUGUAGCGGUGAAAUGCGUAGAGAUCGGGAGGAAUACCAGUGGCGAAGGCGGCCUUCUGGACUGACACUGACGCUGAGGUGCGAAAGCGUGGGUAGCAAACAGGAUUAGAUACCCGAGUAGUC